rnacentral:rRNA from 1 species
GGCCGCGAAUUCGCCCUUAGGGUUUGAUCAUGGCUCAGAUUGAACGCUGGCGGCAGGCCUAACACAUGCAAGUCGAGCGGUAACAGGGGAAGCUUGCUUCUCGCUGACGAGCGGCGGACGGGUGAGUAAUGUAUGGGGAUCUGCCCGAUAGAGGGGGAUAACUACUGGAAACGGUAGCUAAUACCGCAUAAUCUCUAAGGAGCAAAGCAGGGGAACUUCGGUCCUUGCGCUAUCGGAUGAACCCAUAUGGGAUUAGCUAGUAGGUGAGGUAACGGCUCACCUAGGCGACGAUCCCUAGCUGGUCUGAGAGGAUGAUCAGCCACACUGGGACUGAGACACGGCCCAGACUCCUACGGGAGGCAGCAGUGGGGAAUAUUGCACAAUGGGCGCAAGCCUGAUGCAGCCAUGCUGCGUGUAUGAAGAAGGCCCUAGGGUUGUAAAGUACUUUCAGUCGGGAGGAAGGCGUUGAUGCUAAUAUCAUCAGUGAUUGACGUUACCGACAGAAGAANCACCGGCUAACUCCGUGCCAGCANCCGCGGUAAUACGGAGGGUGCAAGCGUUAAUCGNAAUUACUGGGCNUAAAGCGCACGCA